rnacentral:rRNA from 1 species
GACGAACGCUGGCGGCAUGCCUAAUACAUGCAAGUCGAACGCAGUGGGGACGGGUGAGUAACACGUGGGUAACCUCCCAUCAGAGGGGAUAACACUUGGAAACUGGUGCUAAACCGCUACUGAUGGAUGGACUCGCGGUGCAUUAGCUAGUUGGUGGGGUAACGGCUAACCAAGGCCACGAUGCAUAGCCGGCCUGAGAGGGGGAGCGGCCACACUGGGACUGAGACACGGCCCAGACUCCGACGGGAGGCAGCAGUAGGGAAUCUUCGGCAAUGGACGAAAGUCUGAUCGAGCAACGCCGCGUGUGUGAAGAAGGUUUUCGGAUCGUAAAACUCUGUUGGUAGAGAAGCGGUAUCUAACGAGAAAGCCACGGCUAACUACGUGCCAGCAGCCGCGGUAAUAC